rnacentral:lncRNA from 1 species
ACGCACCCUCACACACACACACACACACACACACAAUCUGCAUCCAUGUAUAUGAUUUUUUAUUUUCAUUUUGAAGUGGCAUCAGUUACAGAGGCACUCGAGAGCUGAGGGUUUCUGACAUUGUGUAGAAAAAUCUCAACUCUUGCAUCACUUUGUAACUUUUGCUAAUUAAAGAUAUAAAAAAAAAACAUAUACACUCAUGUUAUGAGUUCUAUUUAUCCUGAUUGUACAAGCCAGCCUGUGUGUGUGUGUGUGUGUAUAUGUAUGUGUGUGUAUGUAUGUAUGUAUGUAUGUAUGUAUGUAUAUGUAUGUAUGUAUAUAUAUAUAUAUGUAUGUAUAUAUAUAUAUAUGUAUGUAUAUAUAUAUAUAUAUAUAUAUAUAAAAUCAUGGUGUAUUUAUUACACAAUUCACUCACACAUGUAUACACAUUUGUGUGUAUAUUAUAUAAUACAUGAUUUAAGGUAGAUGUUAUAUAUUUUCAUUACAUAAUUGUAAUGUCAGAGGUGAGUUCUUUAUGAACAGUGUUUGCAAUUUGUCUUCAGUUACCAGUUGUACUGAUUUCACUUCAGUUUUCUUCUUCCUUUGUGUUAUUAAUGCCAUCAGAAAAGGCCUGAACACCACAACUCUAAUCUCUUCAAGCUUAAAAGUCUUAGCAGAAGACCCAUAUCUACCUGGAUGAGGCAUUAAUAACCUGUUCUUGUGCUUCCUCCCUCGGCGGUAGUUAUAGCAAGAUUCCUUCGGAUAUGGUUAUGAGGGCAAACCAGGCCUGGAACGGGAUGUCAUGUGUUUUAUUGAGUACGCUAAUCAUUUGGUUCAGUAUUAAAUAAUUUUACAUGAAUUUAAAAAACUUGUUUUUAAAAUUUAUUUUAUUGUGUUGAGUCAAAAGUUUUGCAAUAUUUUGGUAAUUUAUUUGCUUCAUUCUUCAAAUUACAACAAAAGCAGCGAAGCAUCCACAGCAGAGGCCAUCAUGUUGCAGUGCCUGAAGCCACUUUUGUGUCAGUUCUUUGAUCCCGUGCUGUUACCAGUUCUUGUUCUUCAAGGUGAAGAACUCUUUCACUGAAACUUCUACCUAAAAGUCUUAGAAGACCUACAUCUCCGUGGAAGAGGCAACAGUAACCCAUUCUUGUGCUUCUUACCUCGGAGAUAGUUACAGCAGGGUGCAACAGGGUGGCCUCUCCUUGGAAUGCUUGGCUGUUUUUGUUGUCGUUUGACAAAUAAAGAAAAUUAGUUACCAAAAUAUUGCAAAACUUUUCACUCAACACAGUAUUUGUUUUGUUAAUGUAAUUUUUGGUUUUUGGAGAUAAUUUUGAAAUAAAAGUAAAUGGUGAGCUGAGAUAAUUUAAAAGGGGAACAAGAAUACAAAAGCGAAAUCUUCCAAAAGGGACGAAGUGGAAAAUCCAUGAGAAGUGGUGGGAGAGGGGGAAGGAUUGUAGGAGAGAAAGAAAGAAAUGUCUGGUGAAAAGGCAGGACAAAGAAUAUGCAGAGAGAAUAUUCUGGAAAGCUAAUGGUUUCCAAUAAUUUUUCUCUCAGACCAUCUUAGCUGGAAUCAAAUUUGAUAGUUUUGAAAAUAUAGUUGUUUACUCAUUUUUGUUGGAGC